rnacentral:misc_RNA from 1 species
GAUGAAGAACGCAGCGAAAUGCGAUAAGUAGUGUGAAUUGCAGAAUUCAGUGAAUCAUCGAAUCUUUGAACGUACAUUGCGCCCCUUGGUAUUCCAUGGGGCAUGCCUGUUCGAGCGUCAUUUGUACCUUCAAGCUCUGCUUGGUGUUGGGUGUUUGUCUCGCCUCUGCGUGUAGACUCGCCUUAAAACAAUUGGCAGCCGGCGUAUUGAUUUCGGAGCGCAGUACAUCUCGCGCUUUGCACUCAUAACGACGACGUCCAAAAGUACAUUUUUACACUCUUGACCUCGGAUCAGGUAGGGAUACCCGCUGAACUUAAGCAUAUCAAUAAGCGGAGGA